rnacentral:rRNA from 1 species
UACGGAGGGAGCUAGCGUUGUUCGGAAUUACUGGGCGUAAAGAGUACGUAGGCGGUGAUUCAAGUCAGAGGUGAAAGCCUGGAGCUCAACUCCAGAACUGCCUUUGAAACUAGAUCGCUAGAAUCACGGAGAGGUUAGUGGAAUUCCGAGUGUAGAGGUGAAAUUCGUAGAUAUUCGGAAGAACACCAGUGGCGAAGGCGACUAACUGGACGUGUAUUGACGCUGAGGUACGAAAGCGUGGGGAGCAAACAGG